rnacentral:rRNA from 1 species
UACGAAGGGGGCUAGCGUUGCUCGGAUUGACUGGGCGUAAAGGGCGCGUAGGCGGUUCGUACAGUCAGACGUGAAAUUCCUGGGCUCAACCUGGGGCUGCGUUUGAUACGUGCGGACUUGAGUGCGGAAGAGGGUCGUGGAAUUCCCAGUGUAGAGGUGAAAUUCGUAGAUAUUGGGAAGAACACCGGUGGCGAAGGCGGCGACCUGGUCCGAUACUGACGCUGAGGCGCGAAGCGUGGGGAGCAAACAGG